rnacentral:rRNA from 1 species
GAUGAACGCUGGCGGCGUGCCUAACACAUGCAAGUCGAACGGAGUCCAGCCUUAGAGACCUUCGGGUCAAAGAGGGGAAGACUGAGUGGCGGACGGGUGAGUAACACGUGGGCAACCUGGCUCAUAGAGGGGGAUAACAGAGAGAAAUUUCUGCUAAUACCGCAUAAGCACACACUGCCGCAUGGCAGAGGGUGAAAAGAGAAUCGCUAUGAGAUGGACCCGCGUCUGAUUAGCCAGUUGGCAGGGUAAGAGCCUACCAAAGCGACGAUCAGUAGCCGAUUUGAGAGGAUGAACGGCCACAUUGGGACUGAGACACGGCCCAAACUCCUACGGGAGGCAGCAGUGGGGGAUAUUGCACAAUGGGGGGAACCCUGAUGCAGCGACGCCGCGUGAGUGAAGAAGUAUUUCGGUAUGUAAAGCUCUAUCAGCAGGGAAGAUAAUGACAGUACCUGAAUAAGAAGCCCCGGCUAACUACGUG